UACGUAGGGUGCGAGCGUUAAUCGGAAUUACUGGGCGUAAAGCGUGCGCAGGCGGUUGUGUAAGACAGGUGUGAAAAUCCCCGGGCUCAACCUGGGAACGUGCGUUGGAAACUGUCGGGCUAGAGUGUAGAAGAGGGGGGUAGAAUUCCACGUGUAGCAGUGAAAUGCGUAGAGAUCAGGAGGAACAUCAGUGGCGAAGGCGCCUCUCUGGACUAAUACUGACACUGAAAAGCGAAGGCGUGGGGAUCAAACAGGAUUAGAUACCCGGGUAGU
rnacentral:rRNA from 1 species